GAUUUUCUCUGCCUCAUGAUGACUGGGUGUUGUGUGCUGUCCUUAGACACUGAAGAAUGGCUAAGAAGCUGGAAACACUUUGCUACUGUUUCCCUAACAAGAAGAGAGAAGACUGUGUUGAAUGAAGUGAUUGCAUGGCACCAAGCGGAUCAGGUUACAAAUGCUGCUUGAUGUGACGACCAUCUGCACCUACGACAUUCUGGAACUGCAAUAGAGAUACCUUUUCACAAUUUUUUGUGGCGCAUUUCAGACGGUGGAGCAUGGAAUGUUCAACUGUCUGACGCAGCUCCUCGUGCACUGCUUGACAAUCGCAUACAGCAUAUAGCACUAUCAGCCAUGGCAACAACAGUUUCUUCAAGAAUUUAUGGCAAAAUUAGCAGUCAGCCUUUCCCAGGUGCAAUUCCCAUUGUCAGUCAAUUCAUACUUCUGAAUCUUGUACUUUAACACUGGUGUGUAAAAGAGGACCUCUCCAUAUUCCUUUAAAGUGCAAAUACUUGCAAAG